rnacentral:rRNA from 1 species
ACUGCUAAUACCGCAUAAUUGCUACGGCACAAAGGGGGCUUCGGUUCUCGCCUUUAGAAAAGCCCAAUUGGGAUUAGGUAUUUGGUGAGGUAAAGGCUCACCAACCCAACAAUCCCUACCUGGUCUGAAAGGAUGAUCAGCCACACGGGAACUGAAACACGGUCCAAACUCCUACGGGAGGCACCAGUGGGGAAUAUUGCACAAUGGGCGCAAGCCUGAUGCACCCUUGCCCCGUGCGUGAAAAAGGCCUUCGGGUUGUAAAGAACUUUCAGUCGUGAGGAAGGGUUAGUAGUUAAUACCUGCUAGCUUUGACGUUAGCAACAAAAAAAGCACCGGCUAACUCCGUGCCAGCAGCCGCGGUAAUACGGAGGGUGCGAGCGUUAAUCGGAAUUACUGGGCGUAAAGCGUACGCAGGCG